UACGUAGGGGGCAAGCGUUGUCCGGAUUUAUUGGGCGUAAAGAGCGUGUAGGCGGCUUUACAGGUCCGUUGUGAAAACUCGAGGCUCAACCUCGAGACGCCGGUGGAAACCGUAAAGCUAGAGUCCGGAAGAGGAGAGUGGAAUUCCUGGUGUAGCGGUGAAAUGCGCAGAGUAUCAGGAAGAACACCCGUGGCGAAGGCGGCUCUCUGGGACGGUACUGACGCUGAGACGCGAAGCGUGGGAGC
rnacentral:rRNA from 1 species